rnacentral:rRNA from 3 species
UACGUAGGUGGCAAGCGUUGUCCGGAUUUACUGGGUGUAAAGGGCGUGUAGCCGGGAAGGCAAGUCAGAUGUGAAAUCCACGGGCUCAACUCGUGAACUGCAUUUGAAACUGUUUUUCUUGAGUAUCGGAGAGGCAAUCGGAAUUCCUAGUGUAGCGGUGAAAUGCGUAGAUAUUAGGAGGAACACCAGUGGCGAAGGCGGAUUGCUGGACGACAACUGACGGUGAGGCGCGAAAGCGUGGGGAGCAAACAGG